CCUCACCCCAGGGCCCUCAACUUAGCGUCUCUUUGUGGCACAGCCCCUUCUGCAAGGCCCUGGCACCCCCUCACCGUUUAUUGUCCCUCCUCGAUGCCCUGUUCUUUGACCUCUCGGGCAACAAACGACUUCCUGAUUGCCAAAGCUGGGCCCCACCCGCCUGCCCUGGCCAAGAUGUGGACCGAGGACUGUGCAGGGCUUCACCGAAAUUCACGGAUCCCCAGUGAAGUUACCUCCCUGGGCGUAUUUAUCUUGAAGGCGAGCUGGCUGCUUUGGAGUGUCUGCCCCACUCCUGUUUCUUUGGGGAGUAACAUUAUGACAUGAUGUCCCAGUGUACUCAAUUAGAUGAAUGACUGUAGGUGCGGACAAAUCAUCACAGCCAUGUGCUCGCCGGCACAGCCCAGGAUUGGCCUGCCACCGAGAAACCCGAGGGCCUAGAACAAUGCAGCAAUGUUCUCUAACCAUUGCGUCGUUCAGAUAAUGGGCAAGUUCAAGCUGUUUCAUGACUCAGGUACUAGGACAACCUACUUGCUUCUUUGCAACCUGGUGGCCCUCCCAGGCAGGAGAGAUGAGUAUGGAAGCCUUACGGAGUGUGACAGUGACUUAUUUCUCCUGUUCCUCUGCCUCGUGCUUUCCACAGACCCCCACAUCCUGGAAGAUGAAUGAGCGAGUCUUCCAAGGGGGGGUGACAUGAGUGGAUUUCUACCUGCCUCUACGCCAAUGAUCAUCCGAGGGACAUCUGGAUGCGAUAACGUGGCCGAGAUUUAUCUCGAGUACCUGAUGGGAUGAAUGGAAAAGCAAUGGGUUUUAGAAAAAAGGAAACUUUUUUGUUCUCUUGGCUUCUCCCAGUGGAAUCUAAAAAAACCAGAGCCCUCAGAGUGGACACCAAGCUUAAAAGAAGUGCUUAGGAUGGGAACGGGGUGGGGGGAAUUAUGAAGGAGGCAAUUCAUCACCCACUUUUGCCCUAAAGUCUUCUCAGGCCAGAAGGCUGAGAUAGGCAGAAUGGAAUCCUCAGCUAGAAAAGAUAAUAACACCUUUCAUUUGCAAACAAUUUACAGUUUACAAAGCACUUUCAUGCAGCAUGACCUCAUCUGGGUCUCCCAGUAUCUCUGCAAGGUUGGCUAAGUUUAUAAUCACCAGUUUAUAGAUGAGGAGACUGAGGUCCAAAGUGGCUAAGUGACUCACCCACCCAGAGAGAAAGUGGCAGAGUGGGAGCCAAACCCAAGUUCCUAACCGGACACUAGGACUUCCUCCACGAUGGACAGAGUCCACAAUCUUCUCCCUCCUGGGAAGAUCAGUGUUCGAUUUAUUCAACAAAUAGGUA
rnacentral:lncRNA from 12 species